CCUACGGGAGGCAGCAGUCGGGAAUUUUGCGCAAUGGACGAAAGUCUGACGCAGCAACGCCGCGUGAGGGAUGAAGGCCUUCGGGUUGUAAACCUCUUUUAUCAGGGAAGAUAAUGACGGUACCUGAUGAAUAARCCACGGC
rnacentral:rRNA from 1 species